GCACGGAGUUAGCCGGUGCUUCUUCUGUGGGUAACGUCCAAUUAUUCAGCUCUUAACCAAACAAUCCUCCUCCCCACUGAAAGUGCUUUACAACCCUCAGGCCUUCUUCACACACGCGGCAUUGCUGGAUCAGGGUUUCCCCCAUUGUCCAAUAUUCCCCA
rnacentral:rRNA from 1 species